rnacentral:rRNA from 1 species
ACCCUGGCGGCGAGCGGCGAACGGGUGAGUAAUGCAUCGGAACGUGUCCUCUUGUGGGGGAUAACCAGUCGAAAGACUGGCUAAUACCGCAUGAGAUCGAGAGAUGAAAGCAGGGGACCGCAAGGCCUUGCGCGAGAGGAGCGGCCGAUGCCGGAUUAGCUAGUUGGUGGGGUAAUAGCCCACCAAGGCGACGAUCCGUAGCUGGUCUGAGAGGACGACCAGCCACACUGGGACUGAGACACGGCCCAGACUCCUACGGGAGGCAGCAGUGGGGAAUUUUGGACAAUGGGGGCAACCCUGAUCCAGCCAUGCCGCGUGUGUGAAGAAGGCCUUCGGGUUGUAAAGCACUUUCGGCCGGAACGAAAUCGCGCGAGUUAACACCCCGCGUGGAUGACGGUACCGGAAGAAGAAGCACCGGCUAACUACGUGCCAGCAGCCGCGGUAAUACGUAGGGUGCGAGCGUUAAUCGGAAUUACUGGGCGUAAAGUGUGCGCAGGUGGCCGCGCAAGUCGAGUGUGAAAUCCCCGGGCUUAACUUGGGAAUUGCGCUCGAAACUACGUGGCUAGAGUGUGGCAGAGGAAGGUGGAAUUCCACGUGUAGCGGUGAAAUGCGUAGAGAUGUGGAGGAACACCGAUGGCGAAGGCAGCCUUCUGGGCCAACACUGACGCUCAUGCACGAAA